UGCCUGGCUUGGAUCAAUGAUGGAGGAAAUUCCUUUGCCGAAACAGCCAUCUACUAUUUCAAGCUACUUGUUUUCCUUCUAGCACGACGGAUUAUUGGUUAGCAGGCUGGAUGUCCGGGUGGAGCCCAGACCCAACAGGGGUGCCUGGCAUCUGACUUCAUCACCGCCAAAGCUGUUGCAUAACAGGGGAGUGGGAAAGGCUUUGCUCUGCAGACGGCAUGAAGGAGAGCAGGCGUAACAUUUAUGUCUUCGUCUUUUGACUUGGUGAAGCAGCAUGUGGCUCAUCGCUCAAAGUUAUUUUUUUUUCUCACUGUUCCCAAGUAAAUGAAGUAAACAACUGUUCGGGUCAUGAUAAGUCGGAGUGUGACAGCAGUUGCAACCUUUUAUCCUGUAUUCUGUACAUCUACUCUGCAAUUUCUCCUCUCAAAUACAAAGACUUACUUACUUACUUACUUACUUAUACUUUUGGUGUUUCCCAGUAUUUACCACAGUAACAAAAAACCAUAAAACAUGUAAUUGUUAAACUUAGACCUGUCUUCACUAUCAAGGAGUAGAACCACAUUUUGUAACGACUCUAUCUGUACAAAAGUGUUGGGACACAUACAUAGGAGACGAGUGUAAGCACUUUAGUGAUUGACAUGCAGACUAACAAAUGUCUUAGUGAUGGAACCGACCAAUGAGUGGUGCUGUCCGCCAUGAUUGGCUUGUGCACCCACCAAUGACAGCAAAUGAGAUCCCAGUCAACGGCAGCGUAGCGCAUUGAGAUCCAGAGCUGCGGACCAAAAGAGAAAUCUGACACAUCACUCAUUCAAACUGGAGUGGUAGAAAAGAAGGCUACAAUAAUCAUUUCCCUCAAUUGCGCUGCCUUGUUCCAAUGACAUGUCAGGAUCCUAACUUGAUCCGUCACCAUUAUAAAAUCCACAAAGACAGGUAAGCUAUGUUAACUUCACCAUUUAGCUAACCAAUAGCUGGUCAAACAGAAACAAAUUUUCAUGUCGGUUAUGUGUUGAAUUGAGAAGACCAUAAAGUGAUUCACAAUACAGAGACUUUUUUUUUUUUUUUUUUCUUCAAAAGCUUUGUUAUUGUGAAUGUAAGUUUGUACAGCUAACUAACACAAGUACACGUACUGUACUGAGUGCAAAGUUGCUAAUGUGCAGAUACAUGCUGUGAGUAGGGACUCAACAUGCCUUGCUUGAGUUCUUCCACAGUAACUUGCGACUUGCUUGAAACUUUAAAUGAACUUGAGACUUAAGACUUGCACGUAAGUGAUUUACUCCCACCUCUGCAGUACACAAUAUUUUGCUUGUCGUGUGUGGCCUCUCACAUUUAAAAAAUGGAUUAAGCUGUUAAAAAAAGAUCUGUAUGUGUGUACCUCCGCUUAAGUACAAGGAAAGAAUGAGGUGAGAGGAGCAACUCGAUGCACAGCGUGCAUAACGCGAAACACGCCACCCCACGGUCUUGGCUACAAGCAUAUGCAUAUUGGCAACACCGCACAUGCGUCUUGGGGAGCAGAAAAUAACGAGUGGAACAUAAAAAUCGAUACGGCACAACCUUCUCCAUCACUUGGUUUCAUGGGUUAAAGCGCUUGACCCGAGACAUCUGCUUUACUGUAA